rfam:Ciona savignyi cont_38238, whole genome shotgun sequence.
GUCAAGCAAUCUCGGGCUUGGUUAGUACUUGGAUGGGUGACCGCUUGGGAAUACCAAGUGUGAUAAGCA